CGGGAAGAGCCCAGCGCAUAACCUCGCCGUCCUCCGGGCGCGAGGGGUGUUGCGUUUCAGAGGGUCCAGCACGCCGCCCCAUACCGUCUAAGUCAAGCUUGAAAGCUGCCACUACCCGAGGAGGGUGAGAGGCCCGUAUGGCGGCGCCCGCGAGGGCACAGAUGGGGCGGUCGGAAAGGACGACGACCUGUCUCUGUAGAGUCGGGUUGCUUGAGAAUGCAGCCCAAAGUAGGUGGUAAACUCCAUCUAAGGCUAAAUAUGACCACGAGACCGAUAGCGAACAAGUACCGUGAGGGAAAGUUGAAAAGAACUUUGAAGAGAGAGUUCAAGAGUACGUGAAACCGUUAAGAGGCAAACGGGUGGAAGCUCGAAGGUCGAACGGUGGGGAUUCAGCUCGUCGGCAGGUUUUUUUUCGGCUGGCGGAGGGUGUAUGUAAGCGACCCUGCUAGACUUGGGCGCGCCCUCCAGCCACGCAGGCGUCGGCGGGCGUAUUUCGCCCCGUAGUAGACCGCCGCGACCCGUUGCUGGGGACGUCGAAGGCCCGGGCGGAUUGGUACCUCGCCGCCGCUCUCACCGCUCAAGCCGCUCCGGCGGAGUGGGCGCGAGCGAGCGACGGGGGAAACCCCCGGUGGUGUCCUGACUGCCCUGCGACGGUCGCUGAGACGAGGCCCGGCGUCUUCUUCUUCUUCUCGGAGGAGGAGCAGCCGCCGGGCCUCUCGCGGCGUGCACAGGUCGGUGGUCCACCCGACCCGUCUUGAAACAAGCACGACCAAGAGUCUAACAUGUGUGCGAGUCAUUGGGUGCACUAAACCCAAAGGCGCAAUGAAAGUGACCGGGGCGGAUGGUGGCGAUCGCGUUGGCGAGGGGGAGGAAUAGGAGUAGUCGGGUGUAGCAAGGUGGUUUCGUCACUGAAGCCAACCCCUAACCCCUUCUUCUUCGUCUUCUCGUUCGUCUCGCGUGUGUGUCAUCCCGUCCCAGGGCCGAUCUCCGACCGGCUGCCCGGGGCCGCCUUAGGCUUCGUCCCUAUCCCGCUGCCGGUACACAGGGUGAGCCAUUUUCCCCUGCCUCUGCCGGCGCGGCGACGGGCGUUAGUCUGCACGGGCGUGUAAACCCGGGCGAAGGUCUUCUUCUGCUGAAGCCGCUUCGCCUCCCUCCUCUUCUUCUGCCCGGCUGGUGAAUAAUCAGCGGGUGGGGCUGUGGGGGGUUUGGGUGGAGGGGCUUUUAGGGGCGCAGGCCCGGGACUUGCCAGGACGCCGCGCGUCGUCUCCGUCGUUGGCUUCCGCUUAACCCCCCCGGAGCGCCGUUCUGCGGCGUGUAAAGGGGGCAGCGGCGGCUGCCUCAGCGGCGGCGAUCCGGCGCGCGUGACACAGUCGGCAAGUACCAUGAGCAGAUAUGUUGGGACCCGAAAGAUGGUGAACUAUGCCUGGCCAGGAUGAAGCCAGAGGAAACUCUGGUGGAGGUCCGUAGCGAUUCUGACGUGCAAAUCGAUCGUCGGAGCUGGGUAUAGGGGCGAAAGACUAAUCGAACCAUCUAGUAGCUGGUUCCCUCCGAAGUUUCCCUCAGGAUAGCUGGGACUCGCAGGAUGAAUUUCAUCCGGUAAAGCGAAUGAUUAGAGGUCUUGGGGACGAAACGUCCUCAACCUAUUCUCAAACUUUAAAUGGGUGAGAUGCCGAGCUUGCUUAAAGAGUAAACCAGAAGAAGCUCCGGCGAAUAAUCUGAGUGUCUAGUGGCCACUUUUGGUAAGCAGA
rnacentral:rRNA from 1 species